UGGAAGGGGAGUUUCCCAGGUGUGGGUCAGAGCAGGGGUGUUGUUGGUGUUCAGGAGCCUGGCUUUCUCAGCUGCCUCAGUUCCACAUUUUUGCUCCACUGUGAGUCCCAGCAGGAAGAGACUGGCUUUGCACUAUCUUCCAGGAAUAAGACCUCUUUUACUGGAUCUGCCCCAAUUAACAUUUUGGUAUAAGUGUUGAUAUUUCCUACUUGGUACUGUGCUACACCAUUGAAUUAAUCAUAAUGAGACCAAUCCUUGCCUGUUCCCAAAGGAGUGUGCUAACCUUGGAGCUGCUGGAUGAAGGGUGUUGGGAGAGGUGGAUCUUGUCCUUCCAGUCUGGGGGAACUGGGCACUCUGGAGCCCAGCUCAGCUUUGCAGGAUGAGGUGCUCCCAGGGGCAGCGCAGUAUUUGAGCCAGGGGAUGAAUUAACUCGCAGUGCCUGUCUCCACCCUCUCUGGAGGGAGCCAAGACAAUGCCAGAAUUUUAGAUGGCUGAAAUUAGGCAAGAUGAAUGUUACCUUAAGAAUAUAAGGAUCAAAUAAAAUCAACUCAUCUUGAUUUUAAGGGGGAAAAAUGUCUUUAUUGAAUGCGUUUGCUGAAAUGUUAUUUUAAAACAAUUACAGAAACCACCUCAAA
rnacentral:lncRNA from 12 species